rnacentral:lncRNA from 1 species
GGCGUCGCAGCGACCCCUGGGGCCCGGAGACGGGCCCGACCCGGCGGUGAGGCGGCCGGAGGACGCUUCGCUCGGCCCUGGGCGCCCCGCGGGCCUCGAGCCUCUGACGGAGGCCCCAGGGCCGCCGCCUCCCGGGAGCCUGGGCCGCGCGGUGCGCAGCGCCCCCUGCCGGGCGCCCCCUCACGCAGCGCGGGCCCGCGGCGGCGGCAGGAGCAGCAACGCCCGGUCGGUGGCCCCCGCCCUCGAGGGCACUCGCGACCCCCUCUUCCCUGCAGAGCGCGCGGUGUCCAGAGGUCGCGGCCCGGCUCCCCCGAGGAAUCGCUCAGAACCUGCCCACGUCGCGGGAGGACAGCAAACGAAGGCGUUUUCCCCGCUUUCGAAAGACUUCGCCCCCACGGAAGCAAAGCCUCGCCGUCCGUCCGUGGGCGGCGGGGUGGAGGCCGCGACCCGGGGCCGAGAAAUCCAAGAAACGGGAACUCCCACCUCGGAAAACUCCGGCGGACCUGGGAACCUGGCGCGUGGGCCCCCGUCGCCUGCUCCUUGGCUCUUCGGAGCCGGGCGCGCGCGUGGCACAAUUAUGAGGUGACUUUCCCUCCCUCGGAGGUCCGCGACCUGAAGCCGUGGGCACUUGUGGCGGCAGGAGGCCUGCAAGACCUGAGCAGAGGCGCUCCCGGGGAAGGCUGCCCCCUCGCCGUGUGGAAGCGAUUGCGGACAGCCCUGGGGAUCCAGUGACCCACAGACCGAGCCUCCGGGACUUUCCAGGCGGCCGCAGAAUCCAGGCAGCAGCGUGGUGAGGCCCUACUAUGCCGGGCGGCAGGCUAAGUGCCUCUUCUUUCCUCAUCUGGUGCCCACUAGGGCCCUAGAAGAGCCGGCACUCUGCUUAGCCCUGCUUUACACAAGUGGAAACUGAGGCCCAGAGAGUUUAAGCGGCCUGAGGUAUGAGGACAGGACCCAAACCCAAGUCUCUGUGGCCCAGAGAGGGCGCUCCUGAUGCUCGCUGCUUCCCAGCUGGUAGCUACGCCUUGCUAGGCCGUGAACUAUAGUAUAUUUUACUUGUUAUUUCAAGGC